CCUACGGGGGGCUGCAGUAGGGAAUCUUCGGCAAUGGACGAAAGUCUGACCGAGCAACGCCGCGUGAGUGAAGAAGGUUUUCGGAUCGUAAAACUCUGUUGUUAGAGAAGAACAAGGACGUUAGUAACUGAACGUCCCCUGACGGUAUCUAACCAGAAAGCCACGGCUAACUACGUGCCAGCAGCCGCGGUAAUACGUAGGUGGCAAGCGUUGUCCGGAUUUAUUGGGCGUAAAGCGAGCGCAGGCGGUUUCUUAAGUCUGAUGUGAAAGCCCCCGGCUCAACCGGGGAGGGUCAUUGGAAACUGGGAGACUUGAGUGCAGAAGAGGAGAGUGGAAUUCCAUGUGUAGCGGUGAAAUGCGUAGAUAUAUGGAGGAACACCAGUGGCGAAGGCGGCUCUCUGGUCUGUAACUGACGCUGAGGCUCGAAAGCGUGGGGAGCAAACAGGAUUAGAUACCCCAGUAGUC
rnacentral:rRNA from 1 species